rnacentral:lncRNA from 1 species
UACCUGAGGACUGCCAAAGGAAGUCCCUACUCAGUGACUGACGGAUAUAGGGGUAUAAAUACCUCAGCUCCUUUUCUCCAUGGCAGGAUAAUUCUAAGGCUUGGGUUUCGCACUACUUUCCAGAGCUUCUGUGUGUAAUUAAGCCACCUACUAUGGGAGGCAGCUUAAUAAUUCACUCGUAUUUUCUCUUUCCUUUCCUACGUUAAUUCCCCUUUCCCAUGCCAGUAUUCCUUGCCCUCCCAAUAACUUCUUACACUCAACUUAUUGACUCAGGUCUGCCUUUGGGGAAGCUCAAACUAAGACAGACCAUCAACUCUUGGGAAAGUAACAUGUAUUGUCUGCAACUAAAGUUUUAGUAAGAUGUGAGCCUAAUCUGACCCAAGUUUGUCUCUGUGACAGAUUUAGAGCCAAAAAAAAGCAUUCUAGAAACAGGUGACUACUUAUUUGUCACCUGUUAGUGUCAACAUUUAUAUGUAAUUUUUUUACUGGGUAAUAUUUUUACCCAGUCACUGAAUGCUUACAGGUUCACAGGCUGGAAAAUUAAACGAAUAAACCUAGAAAACCAAAGUUUUUGUUUUUUAAAAAACAUUACAAAAUAAAGCAAUAGUAAAUGGCCUCCUAGGGGCUCCAAGCUUUCUCUUUACUGUUUCUGCUAAGGUCGGUCGACGAGGACCCACAGAGGACAAUGUGCCCUGAGGAAAUGGUUUCUAUUGGAUGGCCAGGAGUCUCCCAGGCUGGUCAGGCUGUGAUGAAUGGUGUUUAACAUGGUUGGUUUAUGUGGACCAAGUAGCCAAUUCUUCAGGUCUGUAAGGAUACCAGGAAUGAACAUUCAGAAUGGAGCAGUAUGUCAGAAGUAAUCAGUUUCUUUCAUCAGUUCAAGGUGACAGCCCUAUUUUUUUUCUCACAUACUUCUUGGACAAAAGCCUGAAGCUCUGGUUUAAAGUAUAAGAGGAGAAUGAACAUGAGGGUCAGGAUGGGGACUCUUAUGCUUACUGGCUUCCAUCACACUAAAUGUCCCUAUGGCCUGACCACUUGGCCUCUUAAAGGAACUGUCCUCCACUCCCAGCUAUAGCUCCUGUAUGCAGGAUACUCCAGGGCCAAGGAUGAAGAGCAAGGGCAACAGUGAGAGAGACCCAUCCUACCUGGGUCUGCCGUGCACCAGCCCCCAGGUGAUCUGAGUAGCAAAGGGUCUUGCCCCAGCCUUCACCCACAUUAGGCCUGUCGGCAAUCUAAGAACGACUGAUGUUUGAAGCCCAACAGCCACCAUUUCCAUUUUCUGGCCCUUGUUCUGUGAGGGCCAGGCAUGCUAGCACAGCCAGCUGAUCAAGAGGGAGGUUAGCUCAAGGACCAAAGAACAUGGUGUGGAAUCUCCUUGCCUCUUUAUUCCUGGCAACAUCACCUUGGUCACAGCACUUAGCUAUUUUCAGCCUCAGGUUCUUAUUUAUAAGUUUACAUUUAAAUGAGUUCACACUUAGCCUGAUGACAGGCAAUGAGUAAGCAUUUGAUAAAUGGUAAAUAUUACCUUCUCCUGAAAUGUUUAGAAAGGCUUUCUCAAGAUUCAGCUAGGCCUAGUCAUACAUUUAUUAGCUAGCUGUGUCCACAGCCCUAACUUCCUGCCUGGGCCCCAGAUGAUUUGGGUAGAAGGGCUCCUACCGCUCCUUCAUUGGGAGAUUUUAGAAAACAUUGAUACCCAGGCCCCACCCCAUAUCAACUAAAACUGAAUGUCUACAAAUGAAGUGAAAUUCUUUAAAGUUCCCCAGGUACUUCAGAUGUAUCCGUAGGAGUAAGAACUGCAUGGUUUAAGUGAUCCUACUCAGCUGAAACUAAGCUGGAUCUUAUAGAGAGAGAAAUUUUAUCUAGAGGAAAUUAGUAUGGUGAAACUCUGAAAACAUUGUCCUAUGAGUAAUGGUUGGAGGAAGUAAAUGUGUUUAACCUUUGGGGCAGCAUGGGGGUGGGAAAGGCUGAUGGGGAGACUUCUGUGAGGGAAUAAACUUUCUUCACAUAUUUGAAGAGGCAUAAAAUAACCGAUAUUUUAUAUGAAAUGAUUAAUCAUCUUUGUAUUGCUCUGAGAUGUAGAAAUUACAGGUAUACGGAUUUAAUCUCAAGAUACGAAAGAACUUCUAGUAAUUUCCCCAAAGAGAAAGACUCUCUAAAACAUAACCAGUUUCUAAUCACUAGAAGAAAUUCUCAAGGGAGGCCAGAUGAUUAUCUUGAGGAAGAGAUCAGACUAAUGAUCUCUAAGGAUGCUUCCAGUCUCAGAUUUUAUGAAUUAGGAUUAAGUACUUUCAAUUUAUUCCCUUUUGAAAGAGGACAUUCCCCUCCCAUGCAUCGUGGUCAAAGGAAUACUUUCAAAUGAAGCAGAGGGUUUGCAAAAGCCAUUUGAAAUGACUGAAUAAAAAAUGGAACCAAAGUAAAAAAUAUUUCUUUCAUCUAACUUGACCUUAGUACUCAUAGAUUUCCAAGAGUUGACAAAAUAAUGAGAUUUUCCUUAAAAAAAAAAUCAGCCUCACCCUUAUGCCUGAACUUUGUAAUUGUAGAGUUUAUGGAAACACAUGACUACACAAAUCCUGUGCAACCCUGUCUUCGUGUGCUACUCCCUAUAUCACAUCCAUCCCUGAGAGUAUCUUCCUGUUGAGAAGCUCACACAAAGCAGACAAAUGCAGAGUCAAAAUCCUGAAUUCACAAGAAGUUAUUUAGAGGGAAGGGACUAGGCAGUCCCUGUCAGAUGUCAUUCAGCUCAGAACAACCUUCAGUUCUGGCUCUUCUUCCACUGGAAAUACAUCAGAUGCUUUUUAUUAUUUAUUAUUGUGCAAAAAAAUAGUAGCUAGCCAGUACAGUUCCUCCUUAACUCUCCCUGCAGUGUGGUAUGUUGAAUGCCACAUGGAAUAUUUUUAAUCAGUUCCCUUUGGAGGUCACUUUUUCCCUGAGGAGCGUUUUGAUAUACUUCUCUAUAAGAAGGAACAGUGGUUCCUGUCAUCUGCCAAUAAGGACUUAUUCCUCUUUGACAAGAGAAAGAAAAAAACUUCCAAAAUAAACAACAAUCACUUCCAGAGCUUGAUGUUAAGAUGCAAAGCAGUAAUUUGCAGUUUCAAGGAAAGACUUCAAAAGCAUCAAAAAUGCAAUGCACUGAGUUUCUUCCCAGGCAUUUGAUUUCAAAGUUGGAGGAAAAGAUAAACAUGAAAUGUAUUUUCUCUCUUCUUUAUGCCUAGCUUUCCUUAUUCAUGUGGCUUAAUUUUGAUAAAUGGAUUAAAAUUGCUCUGAGUUACACUUUGUCUCUUUUUCCUUGCUUAGAGCUUACUGCAGUCAAAGAGUUUGGAGAUAUAGAUUCCGAUUGUCCUCAGCACUGGAACAAAUUAUAUUAGAUACUUAUGAAUAGUCAGGGAAAACACAAAAACUUGCCGUUUUGCUUUGUUCAUUUGCUGCUCUCUCAUCCAUCCUGGUAUGGGUGCGUCAGCCUGGUUUUUGCUUUUGGUACAGAAGUUUCAUAAGAAGCCCUACUUAUUGUGAUAAACCUCUAUGGAAGCUUACAUUUACAGGAAAGAAAACAUAUCAGACUGCUAUUAUUAAAAAGAACAGAUUUAAAGACCAUUACAAGGAAGACAAUGGCACAAACAUACCAUUUGAUUGAGGUAAUUGUAUGAAUGUACCGAAAAUAAAUCAUUAUUCUUGAAAAAAUAAAUCUCUCUCCCAAAUCAGAGUCUGAUCUCUUGUUACGGGUGGUUGGUGUUCUUGCCUCCAGGAGAGCUGAUCACAGGCUUGUCUGAGAAUAAGUGUUUGGUGAAUGAAUCAGUGCACACACUCUCCACGGAAGAAGUAGGCCAACUCCAGAAGUCUCCGUAUAGAAACCUUUUAGUUAGCAACUUUCAUUUGCAAUCCUGAAGGCACCUCU